rnacentral:rRNA from 1 species
CUACGGGAUGCUCCAGUGAGGAAUAUUGCGCAAUGGGGGGAACCCUGAUGCAGCAACGCCGCGUGGAGGAUGACGCAUUUCGGUGUGUAAACUCCUUUUAUAUGUCAAGAAAAUGACGGUAGCAUAUGAAUAAGCACCGGCUAACUCCGUGCCAGCAGCCGCGGUAAUACGGAGGGUGCAAGCGUUACUCGGAAUCACUGGGCGUAAAGGACGCGUAGGCGGGUUGGAAAGUCAGGUGUGAAAUCCUACAGCUUAACUGUAGAACUGCACUUGAAACUUCUAAUCUAGAGUAUGGGAGGGGGAGAUGGAAUUAGUGGUGUAGGGGUAAAAUCCGUAGAUAUCACUAGGAAUACCUAAAGCGAAGGCGAUCUCCUGGAACAUCACUGACGCUAAGGCGUGAAAGCGUGGGGAGCAAACAGGAUUAGAUACCCGUGUAGUC